rnacentral:rRNA from 1 species
AACAAGGUUUCCGUAGGUGAACCUGCGGAAGGAUCAUUACCGAGUGCGGGCCCUCGCGGCCCAACCUCCCACCCUUGUCUCUAUACACCUGUUGCUUUGGCGGGCCCACCGGGGCCACCUGGUCGCCGGGGGACGCACGUCCCCGGGCCCGCGCCCGCCGAAGCGCUCUGUGAACCCUGAUGAAGAUGGGCUGUCUGAGUACUAUGAAAAUUGUCAAAACUUUCAACAAUGGAUCUCUUGGUUCCGGCAUCGAUGAAGAACGCAGCGAAAUGCGAUAAGUAAUGUGAAUUGCAGAAUUCCGUGAAUCAUCGAAUCUUUGAACGCACAUUGCGCCCCCUGGCAUUCCGGGGGGCAUGCCUGUCCGAGCGUCAUUUCUGCCCUCAAGCACGGCUUGUGUGUUGGGUGUGGUCCCCCCGGGGACCUGCCCGAAAGGCAGCGGCGACGUCCGUCUGGUCCUCGAGCGUAUGGGGCUCUGUCACUCGCUCGGGAAGGACCUGCGGGGGUUGGUCACCACCAUAUUUUACCACGGUUGACCUCGGAUCAGGUAGGAGUUACCCGCUGAACUUAAGCAUA